UACGUAGGGGGCAAGCGUUGUCCGGAUUUAUUGGGCGUAAAGAGCGUGUAGGCGGCUUGGUAGGUCCGCUGUGAAAACUCGAGGCUCAACCUCGAGAUGUCGGCGGAAACCACUUGGCUAGAGUCCGGAAGAGGAGAGUGGAAUUCCCGGUGUAGCGGUGAAAUGCGCAGAUAUCGGGAAGAACACCUAUGGCGAAGGCAGCUCUCUGGGGACGGUACUGACGCUGAGACGCGAAAGCGUGGG
rnacentral:rRNA from 1 species